GAAGAUGAUGAUCAUCAGCGUCUGUAUCUGGACAUUCAUUCUUUCUGUCCAAGAAACUGCAGGACAAAUUUCUGUGACUCAGUCUCCCUCAGUAGCAGCUGUUCAGCCAGGAGAAACAGUUACUAUAAACUGUCAAACUAGCAGAGGAAUUGGAGAUCGUUCCAAGGGUUGUAGAGACUGUCUCGCCUGGUAUCUGCAGAAACCUGGAGAAACUCCUAAACUCCUCAUUUAUGACAUUAGAUCACGGCAGUCAGGAACUCCAUCUAGAUUCAGUGGCAAUGGAGCAGAUUAUGGAACAGAUUUCACUCUGACCAUCAGUGGAGUCCAGACUGAAGAUGCUGCACAUUAUUACUCUCUGGGCCAGAUGUAUAUGGGACACUUGAGGUGUCCUGCUGCACAAGCCAGAAUCAUCAACCUGCAGCUUUCACCUGCACAUCCACUGAAGCUCAGCAGGGUUGAGUCUGGUCUGUAUCUGGAUGUGAGACCUUCAGGGAAGACCAGGUUGCUGCUGGAAGAGAUGUUA